rnacentral:misc_RNA from 1 species
UGCCAAACGAAUAAAACUGAAACACAUGGCAUGCUUUCAUUGCCAUUCCUUUCACAAAUUCCGGAAAAGGUAAUCUUGCAGGAGCAUUCGGAGCAUAAACAGGGGAGAAAGAAAAUGGAUGUUUGCACACCUCGCAGUGGCGAGCGCUACUGUGGUUGAGCCACUGGAGGAGGCAGUCCUGGUGGACAAACUUGAUGCUGCCGCUGCAGGCGCA